ACUUCCGUUUCCGGCCGAGGCCGAGGGAAAAUGGCGGCGGCCGUGGUGGCGUCGGCCCUCCCUGUCACCUUUAGGCAAGUGGUGUCCGCGUGCAGCCGCAGCAUCCUCAGACAGUCCGGGCCCGGAGCGGCCUCCCUGUGGUCGGCACCUUGGACGUUCCGCUCACAGAGCACGUCGCGUCCCCAAGGCUAUGUUCCUAAAACGUCCCUGAGUUCACCACCUUGGCCAGAGGUCGUCCUGCCUGACCCAGCUGAGGAGGCCAGACACCACGUAGAGCUUGUGAGGAAGGUGAACGAGCUGAUCGCCACGGGCCAGUACGGCCGGCUCUUUGCUGUGGUGCACUUUGCCAGCCACCAGUGGAAGGUGACCCCCGAGGACCUGAUUUUAAUCGACAACGAAUUAGACAUUGCGUGUGGGGAGAAGAUCCGGUUGGAGAAGACUCUGCCGUGUCGCUUCCCAGGUGCUGCUGGUGGGCGCCGACACCUUCACGCUGCUGGGGAAGCCGCUGCUGGGAAGGGACCUUGUUCGAGUAGAAGCCACAGUCAUUGAAAAGACAGAAUCAUGGCCAAAAGUCAACAUGAAAUUUAAGAAACGGAAAAACUACAGGAAAAAGAAAAUCAUCGUGAACCCACAGACCGUCCUCCGGAUCAACAGCAUCGAGAUCGCCCCUCGUCUGUGCUGACCGCCACGCUGACGUCCUGAAACACGUCAAUAAACCCUUUCCGGGA